rnacentral:tRNA from 1 species
UGUAGCUCAGUGGCACAGUGCAUGCCUGGCAAGCAUGAGGCCCUGAGUUUGAUUCCCAGUA